rnacentral:rRNA from 1 species
CCUACGGGAGGCAGCAGUGAGGAAUAUUGGUCAAUGGGCGGGAGCCUGAACCAGCCAAGUCGCGUGAGGGACGACGGUCCUAUGGAUUGUAAACCUCUUUUGUCGGGGAACAAAGGCGCCCACGGGUGGGCGGAUGAGUGUACCCGAAGAAAAAGCAUCGGCUAACUCCGUGCCAGCAGCCGCGGUAAUACGGAGGAUGCGAGCGUUAUCCGGAUUUAUUGGGUUUAAAGGGUGCGUAGGCGGACAGUCAAGUCAGCGGUAAAAAUGCGGUGCUCAACGCCGUACAGCCGUUGAAACUGGCAGUCUUGAGUGGGCGAGAAGUAUGCGGAAUGUGUGGUGUAGCGGUGAAAUGCAUAGAUAUCACACAGAACACCGAUUGCGAAGGCAUCUCACGAAUCCGCGAUUGACGCUGAUGCACGAAAGCGUGGGUAUCAAACAGGAUUAGAUACCCCAGUAGUC